GUAACUAUGUCAGAAUUAUAUGAGUUAGCUUUAAGCGUUAAUUAUGAAGGAUUUACUUCUGGUUAUA
rnacentral:tRNA from 1 species